CCUAUCACUAGCUCAAAAUUUGUUCAUGGAGAGCAUUGCGUUUGCGUCAGCAACAUAUUGUGUGGCGAUAACUAAUCUGAUUCCGGCAAUAACGUUCCUACUGGCGGUAUGCUUUCGGCAGGAGAAGCUUUCGUUAACAAGUAUUCCAGGAAUGGCAAAACUUGCCGGAACAGCGGUUGGGUUGGGAGGGGCAAUGGUCUUCGUAUUCUACAAAGGCAUCACUAUAAAAAUUUGGUCAGUUCAUGGUAACCUCAUAGACACGAAGAACAAAACCACUUCAUCGUCGUCGCACCACCCCACCAAUUAUGCCUUGGGUGCAGUGUUAGCUUUCCUGGGCUGUACGUGCAGUUCACUAUGGCUCAUAAUUCAGGGAAAAAUGACUAGAACAUUCCCGUGCCCCAUGUCGGCCACAGCUUUGACAUCGCUAAUGGCAACAAUUCAAUCUGUGAUUUAUGCCCUUUGCGCGGAGAGGGAUUGGAAGCAAUGGCAUUUGGGCUGGAAUAUUAGACUACUUGGAGUUGUUUAUUCGGGAAUAGUGAUUUCAGGAAUUGCGGUGACCUUGAUGGCAUGGUGUAUAAACAUGCGAGGGCCAUUGUAUGCAGCGAGUUUCUUUCCUGUCCUACUUGUACUGGUUGCCAUACUUGCCUCAUUGUUGCUGGAAGAGAACUUGUACCUGGGAAGCUUACUAGGAGCAGUGUUCAUCAUAGGUGGGUUAUACCUAUAUUUGUGGGGUAAGAGCAUCGAAAUAAAGAGGAUGAAUCGGGUAGAACCACUCGAAACCCCCCGACCUUCAGAAUUUCAGUCUAUUGAAAUCGUUACAACAUCAACAUCUGCUCCGGCCAUUACCACCGGGAGUAAUGACAACAACAUCACAAGUAAUAGCAGCAGAGGUUAAAAGUACCUACUUCAACACUCCUCAACUACUUAUGGAUUCAUGUAUUCUGUUUGGUAAAUUUGGAAACUAAACCUAAGGAUAUAGACUAUAAACCGAAAUUGCAGUGGACGAACGUUCGAGGAAGGCCACAGCUAUUUUUAUUACAUAUCAUGUACUCUUUCCCAAAACUAAAAACAAAACUUUUGAUAAUACACGUGAUGAUUCCUUUUUA